AUUGAACGCUGGCGGCAUGCCUUACACAUGCAAGUCGAACGGUAACAGGUCUUCGGAUGCUGACGAGUGGCGAACGGGUGAGUAAUACGUCGGAACGUGCCUAGUAGUGGGGGAUAACUACUCGAAAGAGUGGCUAAUACCGCAUGAGAUCUACGGAUGAAAGCAGGGGAUCGCAAGACCUUGUGCUACUAGAGCGGCCGAUGGCAGAUUAGGAAGUUGGUGGGAUAAAAGCUUACCAAGCCGACGAUCUGUAGCUGGUCUGAGAGGACGAUCGUCCACACUGGGCGUGAGACACGGCCCAGACGCCUACGGGAGGCAGCAGUGGGGAAUUUUGGACAAUGGGCGCAAGCCUGAUCCAGCAAUGCCGCGUGCAGGAUGAAGGCCUUCGGGUUGUAAACCGCUUUUGUACGGAACGAAAAGCCCCGGGUUAAUACCCUGGGGUCAUGACGGUACCGUAAGAAUAAGCACCGGCUAACUACGUGCCAGCCGCCGCCGUAA
rnacentral:rRNA from 1 species